GAGAGUAUCAUCAGCUCGUAGGUUCCUUGCUCUUUUCCUUUUCUAUUUGAAGAAUUUUAUUUUGCCUUGCUUUUUAUGCUGCCACUAUUUUGUCGCAGUGAUGAUGAAGAAACACCAACUUUAGAUGUGGCUGCUCGAACGAGCACGUCACAUACUUUAGUUAUUUCAGAAAAACCAGUUGAAGGGGAGGAAUCGUCGCCUCCUCAACAAAAUGUUAAUACAUCUACUCCUCCUUCGAGCCCCCGUGCCCCUUCACCAAAAAGGGCACGGGUUGAAAAGAUUGUUGAUCCUGCCCCUCAGUUGGGCAGUUCGUCGACUCUGCUCUUAGAUGAUCCAAUGAUCAAAGAGCUUCUUCGGAUCGGGUCCCAAUUUGUUGGGUACCGUGAAUAUGCCGCCAGAGCCGAAGAAAAACUUUCAGAGGCUAACGAACG